rnacentral:rRNA from 1 species
UACGGAGGAUGCAAGCGUUAUCAGGAUUUAUUGGGUUUAAAGGGUGCGCAGGUUGUUUGAUAAGUCAGUGGUGAAAGUCUGUCGCUUAACGGUAGGAUUGCCAUUGAUACUGUUAGACUUGAAUAUGGAUGAGGUAGGCGGAAUGUGUAGUGUAGCGGUGAAAUGCAUAGAUAUUACACAGAACACCGAUUGCGAAGGCAGCUUACUAAUCCAUCAUUGACGCUGAGGCACGAAAGCGUGGGGAUCAAA